rnacentral:rRNA from 1 species
CCUACGGGUGGCAGCAGUGAGGAAUAUUGGUCAAUGGGCGGGAGCCUGAACCAGCCAAGCCGCGUGAGGGAAGAAGGUACAGCGUAUCGUAAACCUCUUUUGUCAGGGAACAAAGGCGGGGACUAGUCCCCGGAUGAGGGUACCUGAAGAAAAAGCAUCGGCUAACUCCGUGCCAGCAGCCGCGGUAAUAGGGAGGAUGCGAGCGUUAUCGGGAUUUAUUGGGUUUAAAGGGUGCGCAGGCGGCCUGUUAAGUCAGCGGGAAAAGCCCGGGGCUCAACCCCGGCGAGCCGUUGAAACUGGCGGGCUGGAGUUGGAGAGAAGUACGCGGAAUGCGCGGUGUAGCGGUGAAAUGCUUAGAUAUCGCGCAGAACCCCGAUUGCGAAGGCAGCGUACCGGCUCCACACUGACGCUGAGGCACGAAAGCGUGGGUAUCGAACAGGAUUAGAUACCCUAGUAGUC